GGGCCCUCGUCGGCCACCCACGGAGGCCCGGAGCCGCACCCCCGAGGGAGGCCGUGUAGGGGACCCCUCGCUGGGCUUAACCGUCCUCGUUCUAGUCAUAUGCGACCCUCACGACCACCCUGGGAGGUAGGUGCGGUGAUGGCCCGCAUUUACAGAUGGGGAAACUGAGACCCAAACAGGCUUGCCCGGGAUCCCACAGCUAGCAGGCGUCCGAGGUUGGAUUUGAACUCAGUCCAGUGCCCCACCCACUCUCGCCCCGCCCUCCUUCUCCUCCUCCUCCUCCUCCCUUCCCCACUUCCCACCCUCCCGUCUGGUUAGGUGUGGACCGUACCCCGAAACACCCGAAGCGAAGCCAUGCCUGCCCUCUGGGAGCUGACGCUGGGGGGUGGGCAGGACCACCUGGUGCACCCCCCCCGGGGUCCCCAAAGUCACAGUGCCCAGGAGGGGUCAGUAGGCCGUUGGGGACCCCCGGAUGGGCGUGGACAAAAACAGGUUGUAGGAGGGGUGGGGAAGGGGAUCAGGGAGGCCUUCCCAUCCCGAAUAUGACCCCUCAGGUGACCCCCGAGCCUGGCCCUUGAGAGAUGCCGAGAAGCCCAGGGUCACCAUGAUGACAUCCAAGCCAAAGAGAAUUAAGUUUUCUGAGGAAGAGAAGAUUGUGAUCUUGGAAGAGUUCAGCCUGCGGAAGGACAUCCUGAUCCCCAAGACUGGCCGCUACCGCAACACCACGGACCGGCAGCAAGCCUGGGAGGAGAUCACGAUGGCCGUGAACUCGCUGAACCCCCUUGUGCAGCGCACACCCGAAGAGGUCCGCAAAAAGUGGAAGAACAUGAUCCUUGACGCCCGCAAGGAGCUGGCCACCACGAAGCACCCCCUCCUCCGGCGGCGCCCCCAGGAGCGCCUCUUCCAUAACAUCUUUGCCCUCUUCAACAAGACAGGCUCUGAGCUCCCCGAGCCGCUGUACGGGGCGGGCCCCGGCUUUCGGACUAAAGGUCCCGCUAGCCCCUCAGGGCCUGCCUGCAAGGUGGAAGGCUUCCUGGACCCCGUCGUCCCCAACUUGGUGCUCCGGCCCCAGGGCGGUGGGAUCGAGCCCAGCCAGGAGAGGGAGGGUCUCUGUCAGAUUGAGAUGGGCAGAAAACUAGACUCUUGGCCUGAGGUCACAGGCAGGAGCCUCCUCCCACCCCCUGUGGAGGUUCAGGCCCGAUUCAAGGAGGACAGUCUAACUGAAGAUGCCUCCGACUAUGGGGAGAAGAGGCUGUUAGAUCCGCUGAAAGACUUGCCUUUGCACUGUGAGCCCGUGCCCCAGGUGCAUCCCGCCGCUGCCGGCGGGGCAGUGUCACCAGAGGGCCCAUCCGGGGACAUGCCCCACCUCUGCGCAAUGCCAGUGCCGGCAAGCCCGUCCCCAGACCCGGCUCUGACUUAUAAGAUUAAAUGCCCCGUCAGUCCUUUGCUAGACUGGCCCUGUUUGGGAGUGAGCUCGAGCCCCGUCACGCCCAGCGGCCGCAUGGACACUCUGAGCACGGAAGGGAUCCACACAGCCAUAAACGACAACGUGAGCGCCUCGGUGGUGACUGCGGAAGAGGAUUUGCUGCCAGGCCCCCGGCCCAGCGAGGAGGGGCUCCCAGAGAAGGAUACCGGGGAAUUGGCCAAGCAGAGCCGCCUCCAGACAGAGAUACUGGAGCUGCAAAAGGAGACACUGCAGCUGCAGAAAGAGAAGAUUCUCCUGGAAAAGGAGAAACUGGUCCUGGAGAUCGUCAAGCUGAGGCGGGAGCUGGGCACCUGAGCUGCCUGACCCUGCCUGCCUGCCUGCUGCCCACAGACAAACUCCUGAGGAGAAGAUCCUGGAGCCCGCCGCCUGCCCGUGCCCAGAGAGGCCUUCUCCUUCACAGGGCCCAUCUGGGCCCGCCCAGGCGAAGCCUCUGCCUCCUCCUCCUCCUCCUCCUCUGCUGUCACUCAGCAGUUACCGCCCUCUGGGGCAGGGGGGCAGGCUCCCUGUGGCUUGCUUCUGGGAAGAAGCCCCAGGAGUCCUGUUUGAGUUGGGCUGGGAAGGGUGUUAGAGGCUCCCAGCCCAGACUUUGCCCCACGGAGCUCCGCCUGGGCUGUGUGGGGUCAGAAAGCUGAAGCAAGAGCUCAGAGCCCCUUAGCAGGUGCCAGGGGGUGGGGAUGAGCGCAUGCCAGCACUCUGCCCCAGCUCAGGAGGUCCAGCGUUCAGGCCAGGCCUCCAGUGGCUGUAGGUCAAGUCGACAAGGACAUAUUUCUCAGAACCCUGUCUGUGUGCUAAGGGGACGGGCUGAUGGAUCCCUGUGCCAGGAGUCUGGGCCUCUUGGUGCUGCUGUCAGAGAAGUAAAAGCAUCCAGGUUUCCUCAUCACUGGGUCUGCCUCCCUGCCUGUUCUGAUUCAGCCUUCCUUUUUUAUGGGGGGAACAGUGGUUGGGCAGCCUUGGCAAGCCCUCCGUGGGGUGCCUAGUUGUCUGUCCACACAGGAAAAUCACCCGUGUUGCCUGCCCAGGAGAGGCAGCUGGGCAGGUCCAGAAGGGCCCUGGGAGCCCAAGCCCCUGUGGGACAGAGAAGGAAAGGGAGGCCGGAGAGGGGAGAAGCUUGUGUCCCUCCUCAGGUGCCCUUGCUAUGUCCAGGGCUGGCGCAGGCACUGACCCCCAGCUUAACUUGGUGCUUGUCUCAUCUGCCCUCCUGGUGUCUGUGGAAUUCGUGAGAAC
rnacentral:lncRNA from 1 species